GUGUCACAGUGGUAUAUAUACUCACAGAGUCUGUCCUGGUUCCUCCUAAAUUACAUGACAGCUUGCAAAGGGCAGGCUCCUACCGGUCUGCCUCCAGGACCGACCUCAAAAGAUUUCUCUCUGAAAGGAGCCGGGAGGAUCUACACAAUGCAUGAGAAAGGCUUUUUCAGGAGCAGCUGUCCUAGCACAAGAGAGGGGAAGGAGUUAGGGCGGCUGCCGCGUAUCUGGGCUGGAACGCGAGGUUGAGUGUUUCAUCAGCAUCCGAGAAUGUAGGGCAGCAGGGAAGAUCCUCCCGUUUCCCCAGCCUGUGUGUGAAUUUUCUACAGGACUCAAGGCCUCUGCCCAGUGCUCCUCAGCGAGCAGAAAGCAGUCAUUUGGGGAAAUAAUGGAGGUGGAAGAGCCUCAUCACUCCUUGAAGGAAGGAAUAAGCAGCUUGGCUAUGAUCAAAGAACAUGUCCUCAUUCAAACCUAGAGUCCCUGAGCCUCAAACCUGAGGUCAAUCCUCUGCCUCCCAGCUUAUAAAUGGGGGGCCCAUAUAUCCAGCUGAAGAAUGCAGUGCUCUUUGGAGGGCAGCAUGGCAGCUGGUUCCCCAUGUGCCCUUCAAAGCAGAGAGAACCACUAAGGAGGCUGGGAGAAAUGGCUGCAGACCACUGCAAAACAGCCCCAUGUCUGCAAGUGACAAGUGGUUUUAAUGUGCUCGGUGGCCUACAUUCAAAUCUGGGCUUAAAAAGCCCAGCUUCUCCUGAAGCCAAAGUUCAGUGUAAUGGAAAACUUUGCUAA
rnacentral:lncRNA from 1 species